UCCGGUUGAUCCUGCCAGAGGUCACUGCUAUCGGUGUUCGAUUAAGCCAUGCGAGUCGAGAGGCGUUAUGGCCUCGGCGGACUGCUCAGUAACACGUGGAUAACCUACCCAAGAGUCCGGGAUAACCCCGGGAAACUAGGGAUAAUACCGGAUAGAUCAUCCUGGCUGGAAGGCGGGGUGGUUGAAACCUCCGGGGCUUUUGGAUGGGUCUGCGGCUGAUUAGGUUGUUGCCGGUGUAACGUACCGUCAAGCCUGUAAUCAGUACGGGUUGUGGGAGCAAGAGCCCGGAGAUGGAUUCUGAGACACGAAUCCAGGCCCUACGGGGCGCAGCAGGCGCGAAAACUCUACAAUGCAGGCAACUGCGAUAGGGGAACAUCGAGUGGCUGUCAUAUUGAUAGUCUGUCCACCCGCCUAAAAAGCGGGUGUUAGCAAGGGCCGGGCAAGACCGGUGCCAGCCGCCGCGGUAAUACCGGCGGCCCGAGUGGUGGCCGAUAUUAUUGAGUCUAAAGGGUCCGUAGCCGGCUUUGCAAGUCUCUCGGGAAAUCCAGCGGCUUAACCGUUGGUCGUCCGGGGGGUACUACAUUGCUUGGGGCUGGGAGAGGUAGGAGGUACUCAGGGGGUAGGAGUGAAGUCCUGUAAUCCUUUGGGGACCACCGGUGGCGAAGGCGUCCUACCAGAACAGGUCCGACGGUGAGGGACGAAAGCUAGGGGCACGAACCGGAUUAGAUACCCGGGUAGUCCUAGCCGUAAACGAUGCUCGCUAGGUGUCACAACAGUCGUGAACUGUUGUGGUGCCGUAGGGAAGCCGUGAAGCGAGCCACUUGGGAAGUACGACCGCAAGGUUGAAACUUAAAGGAAUUGGCGGGGGAGCACCACAACGGGUGGAGCCUGCGGUUUAAUUGGACUCAACGCCGGGAAGCUUACCGGGAUCGACAGUUGUAUGAAGGCCAGGCUGAAGACCUUGCCGGACUAUCUGAGAGGAGGUGCAUGGCCGCCGUCAGUUCGUACCGUGAGGCGUCCUGUUAAGUCAGGCAACGAGCGAGACCCA
rnacentral:rRNA from 1 species